ACGAACGCUGGCGGCGCGCUUCACACAUGCAAGUCGCGCGAUGAAAUUUCGACAGAUCCCUUCGGGGUGAAGAUGAAAUGGAUUAGCGGCGGACGGGUGAGUAACACGUGAGUAACCUGCCUUUGACAUUGGGAUAGCCUCGGGAAACUGGGAUUAAUACCAAAUGACACUAACUGAUCACAUGAUCAAUUAGUCAAAGAAAUUCGGUCAAAGAUGGACUCGCGGCUGAUUAGCUAGUUGGUGAGGUAACGGCCCACCAAGGCGACGAUCAGUAGCCGGCCUGAGAGGGUGAUCGGCCACAUUGGAACUGAGACACGGUCCAAACUCCUACGGGAGGCAGCAGUGGGGAAUAUUGCACAAUGGGGGAAACCCUGAUGCAGCGACGCCGCGUGAGCGAAGAAGGCCUUCGGGUCGUAAAGCUCUUUUAUGAGGGAAGAUAAUGACGGUACCUCAAGAAAAAGCCCCGGCUAACUACGU
rnacentral:rRNA from 1 species